rnacentral:tRNA from 1 species
GUUAAAGUAGGUUAAAGUAAACCUGAGAGCUUAUUACUCUUCAAUAUAUUGUGAAGAUGUCUUUAAUA